rnacentral:rRNA from 1 species
UUACCCUACGGGGGGCAGCAGUGGGGAAUAUUGCACAAUGGGGGGAACCCUGAUGCAGCGACGCCGCGUGGGUGAAGGAGUAUUUCGGUAUGUAAAGCCCUAUCAGCAGGGAAGAACAAUGACGGUACCUGACUAAGAAGCACCGGCUAAAUACGUGCCAGCAGCCGCGGUAAUACGUAUGGUGCAAGCGUUAUCCGGAUUUACUGGGUGUAAAGGGAGCGCAGGCGGCGCGUUAAGCCUGGUGUGAAAGCCCGGGGCCCAACCCCGGGACUGCUCUUGGAACUGCAUGGCUGGAGUACAGGAGG